UACAGAGGUCUCAAGCGUUGUUCGGAUUCAUUGGGCGUAAAGGGUGCGUAGGCGGCGCGGUAAGUCGGGUGUGAAAUCUCGGAGCUUAACUCCGAAACUGCAUUCGAUACUGCCGUGCUUGAGGACUGGAGAGGAGACUGGAAUUUACGGUGUAGCAGUGAAAUGCGUAGAUAUCGUAAGGAAGACCAGUGGCGAAGGCGGGUCUCUGGACAGUUCCUGACGCUGAGGCACGAAGGCCAGGGGAGCAAACAGG
rnacentral:rRNA from 1 species